AAUAGAUGGCCUGUUGAAGGAUGUAACCCUCAGAGGUUCUUUCAAAGAGGUGGUUCUUUCUUGGCUGGAAACUUAUCCUUUUCUCGGGCAAAGGUUUCCUUAGAAGGAUCUACCCCUGUUCCUGUUUACAAAGAACCAACACUUGUCAUUCCUGGAACCCCUGGAAUAGUGCAGCAUGAAAUUUUGAAUAAUAGGAGGAAUGUGUUGACUAAGGAUACCUUUGGUUCAGUGAAGCUGUUGGAGAUCAGCAGGGGCAUUGUCAUUGAGAAUUAUGGAAAGGUUUCAUUUGUUCUUUUUCUAUGUACUUG